rnacentral:rRNA from 1 species
UAGGAUUCCCCCAGUAGCGGCGAGCGAAGCGGGAAAAGCCCAAGGCCGGAAUCCCCUCACUGUCAAGCGAGGGGAGUUGUAGCCUAUGGACGUGCCGGUCGGCGCGCUGGAGGCAGGACAAGUCCCUUGGAACAGGGCGCCAGAGAGGGUGACAGCCCCGUCCGCCUGCAGCCGGCGAGCCAUAUGACGGCGCGGUCCGAGAGUCGGGUUGUUUGGGAAUGCAGCCCGAAGCGGGAGGUAAGCGCCUUCCAAGGCUAAAUAUUCAGGCGAGAGACCGAUAGCGAACAAGUACUGUGAAGGAAAGUUGAAAAGCACUCUGGAGAGAGAGUGAAAAGGGCGUGAAACCAUGUGUAGGGAAGCGCUUGCACGGGGCACCGAGCCUGUUUGCCGCAAGGCGGGCAGGCCGCCCAGCACCGGUUUUCGCUGCCGGAAAGGGCGCGGGCAAAGGUAGGGCGCGGCUUCUGGCUGCGCCUGUUACAGGGCCCGGGCCGAUGCGGUGGCGGGGACCGAGGACAGCGGCCGCCCCCUCUGGGGGGGCGCCGGGCGUGCGCGGGGGGUGGGGCGCGGCGGCGGGACAGCAUGCUGACCCGCUGGCGCGGUCCGGCUCCAUGCGCAUCCACCCGGCACACGGCCAAGGGAUGCUG